AAAGUCGUAACAAGGUUUCCGUAGGUGAACCUGCGGAAGGAUCAUUAAAGCGUUGCCGACGUGGAGCCCGGCCGUCUCGAGGUGAAAUAUACUCGAGGCGGUGUUCGGUGUUCCCCGGCAGUUGCCCAUUCUUGUCUACUGACCCAGUUGCCUCGGUGGGCCGAGCCGUUCGCGGCCGGCCGGUGGGAGUUUCUCCUCGGGCCUGUGCCCGCCGAUGGACAUUUAAAAUCUAAUAUAUUGGCCGUCUGAGCAUAAAGCAAAAUCUUUUAAAACUUUCAACAACGGAUCUCUUGGUUCCG
rnacentral:misc_RNA from 1 species